rnacentral:lncRNA from 1 species
ACCGCCGCCACUCUAGGUAACCAUAACUCCAAUAAACCUUUCCGAUUUGAAACUUUCUGGCUUAGCAUUGCAGGGUUUGACGACUUAGUUCAACAAUGGUGGAGCUCUAGCCCAACUUCGCAAGACCCCAUCACUGCAGCAAUUCUCAAACUUCGGCAUCUUCGAUCCCAGCUCAGAACUUGGAAUCAAAAAAAGGUGGG